CCGCGACCCCAGGUCAGGCGGGAUUACCCGCUGAGUUUAAG
rnacentral:rRNA from 1 species